ACAAACUUAAUGAUUGAGAUGAGUAACUUUCAAGAAGUAUGUCCAGAGAGUCUGUGGUUGGUGUGAACAGAUCUUCCUUCGAAAGUGAAUGGCCUCAUGAAAGGCGGAAUGAACACUUCGGUAAGUAGUUUACGACGGUUGUCCCCGUUAACAGGACAGGAAUAUGUUUGUAUUCCUAUUGAGUUACGUAUUUUACGUAGUGUUUCAGGUGGUACCGCGAAGACUUCGCCCUGUAU
rnacentral:ncRNA from 1 species